rnacentral:tRNA from 1 species
GGGGGUGUAGCUCAGCUGGCUAGAGCGCUUCGGUCGCAUCGAAGAGGCCGUGGGUUCGAAUCCCAUCACCUCCACCA